AUACGGAGGAUGCGAGCGUUAUCCGGAUUUAUUGGGUUUAAAGGGUGCGCAGGCGGGCGAUUAAGUCAGCGGUGAACGGCUCGGGCUCAACCGGAGCAGUGCCGUUGAUACUGGUUGUCUUGAAUGCGGUACAGGCCGGCGGAAUGUGGCGUGUAGCGGUGAAAUGCAUAGAUAUGCCACAGAAAACCGAUAGCGAAGGCAGCUGGCCGGGCCUGCAUUGACGCUCAGGCACGAAAGCGUGGGGAUCGAACAGGAUUAGAUACCCUGGUAGUCCACGCUGUAAACGAUGGACACUCGUUGUCGGCGACAGACAGUCGGCGGCCAAGCGAAAGUGAUAAGUGUCCCACCUGGGGAGUACGGUCGCAAGGCUGAAACUCAAAUGAAUUGACGGGG
rnacentral:rRNA from 1 species